rnacentral:misc_RNA from 1 species
AAGGAUCAUUAUCAAUUCUCCUCACGGAGAUACCCACCUGUGGUCCCGUCUGAGUGCGUGGGCGCCUGCGCUCACAAACUCAUUUUUUUAACUCCCAUUACCAGUUACCUGAAUCCUCGUCUCAUGCAGGGCUAGGUGAAAGCGGGCCUACGGGCUUCCACACUGCGCCGACCCCCUGUGUGAGCACUUAUGUAACAACAGUACAACUGUUAACAGUGGAUAUCUAGGCUCUU